rnacentral:tRNA from 1 species
GCCGCUGUAGCUGAGAUGGAUUAGCGCGGGUUUGAAGCACCCGAGAGGCAGGCUCGAUACCUUGCCGGCGGCA